UACGUAGGGCGCAAGCGUUGUCCGGAAUUAUUGGGCGUAAAGAGCUCGUAGGCGGUCUGUUGCGUCGGCUGUGAAAACCCGGGGCUCAACUCCGGGCCUGCAGCCGAUACGGGCAGACUAGAGUUCGGCAGGGGAGACUGGAAUUCCUGGUGUAGCGGUGAAAUGCGCAGAUAUCAGGAGGAACACCGGUGGCGAAGGCGAGUCUCUGGGCCGAUACUGGCGCUGAGGAGCGAAAGCGUGAGGAGCGAACAGG
rnacentral:rRNA from 1 species